GGAUUUCAUAAAGUGCUGUGUUUAUGACAGAGGGGAGGGAAGAGCACGAGCAGAGAGUAGAAGUGCAGGGUUCACUGUGCGAGAGGGACUGAGUGGACACAGAGCGCGCGCUGUCUGACCACUGCUUCAUCGCGAGGAAGAGGAUGAGGAGCUUUCUGUAGAGACACGCUUUAGCUCGAUGUGAACUCUGUGUAACCUCAGGGAACACGACAUCCCUGUCCCUGGAGGAAAGAUGUGCUACUCCAAUGUUUGUAGAAGUUUCGUGAGGAACUCUAAAUUCUUGAGGUGUGAAAGGCGCAUUUUCCUUCAGUGGCAUCAUUCUCACUGCACUGUGAUACGCUCAGAGAGUGUGUGUGUGUGUGUGUGUGUGUGUGUGUGUGUGUGUGUGCAGCUCUUUAGCGACACCUGCCGGAUCAAUCACGCGCCGCGGUGAAUCCACUGGAAACUCCAGCUAAAUUAAAAUAAAGAAACACUGAUAUCGUGAGAGAGAAUACAGAUAUCAA